AUUGAACGCUGGCGGCAUGCUUUACACAUGCAAGUCGUACGGUAACAGGCCUUCGGGUGCUGACGAGUGGCGAACGGGUGAGUAAUGCAUCGGAACGUACCCAGAGGUGGGGGAUAACGCAGCGAAAGCUGUGCUAAUACCGCAUGUGAUCUGAGGAUGAAAGCGGGGGACCGAGCAGCAAUGUUUGGCCUCGCGCCUUUGGAGCGGCCGAUGUCGGAUUAGCUAGUUGGUGGGGUAAAGGCCUACCAAGGCGACGAUCCGUAGCUGGUCUGAGAGGACGACCAGCCACACUGGGACUGAGACACGGCCCAGACUCCUACGGGAGGCAGCAGUGGGGAAUUUUGGACAAUGGGCGCAAGCCUGAUCCAGCAAUGCCGCGUGCGGGAAGAAGGCCUUCGGGUUGUAAACCGCUUUUGGCAGGAACGAAACGGUGCCCGCUAAUACCGGGCGCUAAUGACGGUACCUGCAGAAUAAGCACCGGCUAACUACGUG
rnacentral:rRNA from 1 species